rnacentral:lncRNA from 1 species
AAGUGGGCGUGGAAAGAGAGCGGAAGCCGAAACUAGGCGGCUUCACAGAUCUUGCACUGGGUCCCUGUGCCUGCCUGCCAUCGAGGAUCCAAAAUCUAAGGAUGAUGCUCGGAGUCCCACCACAGCUUGUCAGAGUUCACAUAGCGAAACCCAAAGCGCCUGCCCCUGUGACAUCAUCUGAAUUCAGCCACCCUCACUACCGCCACCAGCCCAGGAUAAGGAUCAUAUUUCCAGUCUCCUCUGCAGCUACCAGGCCACUGGACCAAUCUCCAACCAGGCAGAUAAAGGGAUGGAAGUUAGAGUCUCACCUGGCGACUUCCGGUAACAGCUUUGUGCCACUUUCCCUAGAACGAUCCUCCUGUCUCCUUCCUGCCAGCUCCAUGGAUUGUAAAAUCACAUUGGGCAUGGCAGCCAGACAGAAUAAAGCACCAAAUUAAAACAGAUGCCAGUGUCCCCAUGUCAUGCAGAGUCAGCAAGGCACUCUGCACCAGCCCCAGCCCCAGCCCCACACUUCCUAUCUCCAGGUUUCUAAAAUAAAGAGAAAAAUGAAAUUGUCCUGUGCCCCAAACUGUGGCUAUUUGAGGGUUUUCUAUUACAAGUAGGCAAACUCAUUCCUAGCCAGUAUAGAGGCUAAGUGGCCAAGGGGUAAGGGGAAUCGUCUCAAGCAGGAUGGACAGGAAGGUAUCCCUGAGGGUGUGACAUUUGGGCAGAACAAAAGGAGGGAGAAGCCAAGCUGUGUGGGCAAGGGUGUCCCAGGCAGAACUUACUCCCUGUCACCUAAGCUGGCAACCCAAGCCUUAUCCCCAGGCACCUUCUGUUCUACAGGCCACCUCUCACCUGUCGCCAGAUGAGUUCAGAACAAAGGAAACCAACUAAGGACACACACUUCCAGUCUCACCUCUCAGGCUGCCUUCUGCAGUCUGGCCCACAAAGGGUUAAACUGCCCACACCCCACCCCCACACCCUCAAAGAGCUCUGUGAUGGAGCCUGGGGCCUUGUCUGGAAAACUGAUCUUGUGGGUUCUUUUAGUUCUGUAAGUCUGUGGUACUUUGUUAGGGAAUCCUUAAAGGAGAGGUUUCCUUUCAGGGAUAUGGUCUGACUGUGUAGCCCAGACUGGGCUCGAACUCACAAUCUUCCUGCCUGAGCCUCCAAGGGCUGGGGCUCUGUGAAGGUUGUGUUUUAUUGAGAUGUAAACUCACAUAUUACAUAAUUUAACCAUC